rnacentral:rRNA from 1 species
ACGAACGCUGGCGGCGUGCUUAACGCAUGCAAGUCGCACGGAAAGGCCCUGCUUUUGUGGGGUGCUCGAGUGGCGAACGGGUGAGUAACACGUGAGUAACCUGCCCUUGACUUUGGGAUAACUUCAGGAAACUGGGGCUAAUACCGGAUAGGAGCUCCUGCUGCAUGGUGGGGGUUGGAAAGUUUCGGCGGUUGGGGAUGGACUCGCGGCUUAUCAGCUUGUUGGUGGGGUAGUGGCUUACCAAGGCUUUGACGGGUAGCCGGCCUGAGAGGGUGACCGGCCACAUUGGGACUGAGAUACGGCCCAGACUCCUACGGGAGGCAGCAGUGGGGAAUAUUGCACAAUGGGCGGAAGCCUGAUGCAGCAACGCCGCGUGCGGGAUGACGGCCUUCGGGUUGUAAACCGCUUUCGCCUGUGACGAAGCGUGAGUGACGGUAAUGGGUAAAGAAGCACCGGCUAACUACGUG